GACGAACGCUGGCGGCGUGCUUAACACAUGCAAGUCGAACGGAAAGGCCCUGCUUUUGUGGGGUGCUCGAUUGGCGAACGGGUGAGUAACACGUGAGUAACCUGCCCUUGACUUUGGGAUAACUUCAGGAAACUGGGGCUAAUACCGGAUAGCAUCUCCUGCUGCAUGGUGGGGGUUGGAAAGUUUCGGCGGUUGGGGAUGGACUCGCGGCUUAUCAGCUUGUUGGUGGGGUAGGGGCUUACCAAGGCUUUGACGGGUAGCCGGCCUGAGAGGGUGAACGGCCACAUUGGGACUGAGAUACGGCCCAGAGUAGUCUGGGGGGCAGCAGUGGGGAAUAUUGUACAAUGGGCGGAAGCGUGAUGAAGCAACGCCGCGGGUGGGAUGACGGUCUUCGGGUUGUAAAACGCUUUAGCCUGUGACGAAGCGUGAGUGACGGUAAUGGGUAAAGAAGCACCGGCUAACUACGUG
rnacentral:rRNA from 1 species